GACGAACGUUGGCGGCGUGCUUAAUACAUGCAAGUCAACUGAAGCACCGGUAGUAAUACUGGUGUGGAGGUGGCGCACGGGUGAGUAACACGUAGGUAAUCUGCCUUCAGGUCUGACAUAACCCCGAGAAAUCGGGGCUAAUAGCAGAUGAUGCAGCGGCUUGACAUCAAGACAGUUGUUAAAGCUUCGGCGCCUGAAGAUGAGCCUGCGUCUGAUUAGCUAGUUGGCGGAGUAAUAGCCCACCAAGGCGACGAUCAGUAGCUGGUCUGAGAGGAUGAUCAGCCACACUGGAACUGAGACACGGUCCAGACUCCUACGGGAGGCAGCAGUAAGGAAUAUUGCUCAAUGGGAGAAACCCUGAAGCAGCAACGCCGCGUGAGGGAUGAAGGGCUUUUGCUCGUAAACCUCUGUAGUGAGGGAAAAAUUUCCAUUCUAUGGAAUAUGAUGGUACCUCAAAGUAAGCCCCGGCUAACUACGUGCCA
rnacentral:rRNA from 1 species